CAGAUUUUCAAAGAGUUACGGCACAGUGGCUUCUUUCUGAAGUCUAAACUUCUGAGAAUUGCUCCAAGCUUGCAGAAAAGGCCUCAAGAGAUACAAACGACAGAAAAAAGUUACAGAGAAAGGGGGAGCAAAAGUAAUUUAGUGUCACAUUUCUGCGCUUUUCAAUCAGAUGAUACUGGCAAGUCACACAGGAUGAGAUGGGAAACCAUGAAAGACCCACACAGCUAUGUUGUGGAUUCUUAGGAACUCCCUGUACUGGAGGAGGCGGCGAAAGGGCAGCUCAAAAGGAAAACAAGAGCAGCUUGGUAACCCCUGAGAAGCCUCUGUGCAUGUGGUCUUGUGUACACAAACAGACAUGAAGCCUGAGAGCAAAGCUGAAAAAUACAAUCACUGUGGUUUCUGGAUUCGUUUAACUGCUGGUCACGACAUAGGAUUGUUCUCCUGGCUGUUCCAGGAGCAAAUACCCACGUGUCCAUCUGUCUGUGUAUCUUCCUGUCCAGAUGUGGCUCUGUGUGUGUGUGGAUCUCCCUGUCGUCCCAGUUUUUCC
rnacentral:lncRNA from 1 species